rnacentral:rRNA from 1 species
GAUUAACGCUAGCGGCAGGCCUAAUACAUGCAAGUCGAGGGGGUAACAGGGUAGCAAUACCGCUGACGACCGGCGCACGGGUGAGUAACACGUAUGCAACCUACCUAUAACUGGGGAAUAGCCUUCCGAAAGGAAGAUUAACACCGCAUAAUAUCACGAGACGGCAUCGUUUUGUGAUCAAACCUCCGGGGGUUAUAGAUGGGCAUGCGUAACAUUAGCUAGUUGGUGAGGUAACGGCNCACCAAGGCGACGAUGUUUAGGGGGUCUGAGAGGAUGAUCCCCACACUGGUACUGAGACACGGACCAGACUCCUACGGGAGGCAGCAGUAAGGAAUAUUGGACAAUGGGGGCAACCCUGAUCCAGCCAUGCCGCGUGAAGGAUGAAGGCGCU